rnacentral:tRNA from 5 species
GCCGCGGUGGCGGAACUGGCAUACGCGCACGGUUCAGAGCCGUGUGUCCGCAAGGGCUUGUGGGUUCAAAUCCCACCCGCGGCA